rnacentral:rRNA from 1 species
AGCGAACGUUAGCGGCGGGCCUAACACAUGCAAGUCGAACGCGAAAGGGAUUCGUCCCCGGUAGCGUGGCGUCCGGGUGAGUAACACGUAGGAAAUCUUCCCUAGAGCGGGGGAUAACGUCCCGAAAGGGACGCUAAUACCGCAUAAGCCCACGGCGACUCCGGUCGAAGAGGGAAAAGCUGGCCACUGUAUACAAGCUAGCACUUUAGGAUGAUCCUGCGGCGCAUCAGCUAGUUGGUGGGGUAAUGGCCCACCAAGGCUAAGACGCGU